AUAUUGGACAAUGGGCGAAAGCCUGAUCCUGCCAUGCCGCGUGUGUGAAGUAGUCCUUCGGAUAGUAAAGCACAUUAUGUUGGGAGGAAGGGCACUAAGUUAAUACUUCGCUGUUUUUACGUUACCGACAGAAUAAGCUCCGGCCAACCUCGCGCCAUCAGCCGCGGUAAUACGAAGGGUGCAAGUGUUAAUCGGAAUUACUGGGCGUAAAGCGCGCGUAGGUGGUUUGUUAAGUUGGAAGUGAAAGCCCCGGGCUCAACCUGGGAACUGCUUUCAAAACUGGCAAGCUAGAGUAUGGCAGAGGGUGGUGGAAUUUCCUGUGUAGCGGUGGAAUGCGUAGAUAUAGGAAGGAACACCAGUGGCGAAGGCGACCACCUGGGCUAAUACUGACACUGAGGUGCGAAAGCGUGGGGAGCAAACA
rnacentral:rRNA from 1 species